UCACACUUAUGAAAAUUAAUCUUACGGCCGGAGAGCUUUUUGAGGGUACAUAUUACUAGCUUUAAGUUUUUGGCCUGCUCUAGAUCAUUUUUCAUAAAGAGAAUUGUAUGAUCGGCGUAUUGAAGAAUUGAUAAUCCUCCAUCUAAUAGAUGAGGCACUAGGCCCCUAAUUGAUCAUUAUCUCUAGCUCUUGAAAUGAGAAUUGC
rnacentral:lncRNA from 1 species